UCAAAAGCUGCCUGGCUUACCUGUAUCUCCAGCUUCAUCAACCUCCUGAUGAAACCCAUACUGGCCCUUCUGCUGAUAAGCUCUCCAGGCUCUACCUGCCUGCUCCUGCUGCUGCCACACAUCACUUCAGGAAACUGAUGAACUGUACCAACCUCAGAUUAACCCCCAACCCCGUCUUUCUUUUUUUGCAAUCCCAGACCAUCACUGGAGGUUCCAGAAGAUCAAGCGUAAAGAGGAAGAAAGAUAUCAGAUAACAAGGCAGCGUGGAGGCGCGGCACAUGGUGUCGCAUGCUCGGCACUGCACCCACCGGGAAUG